UAUGGUAGUGAUAAACUUAAGAAACUUCAGCUGUGGCCUUGACACAAGAUACACUUAAUGGAUUGAUGUUCCUCCAUCCAAAUAUUGAUUGAAAAAGCUCACAGUAAUUAUGACAAGACUAAAUAACACAUUUACCUGUCCAUGGGCCAAGCUUCCAAAAGACCAGAGGACACAGUCAACAACUCAGAGUAAUAGCCACUACAAGAAUGAGACAAUGAAAAAGCUACUAGUUUUGUAAGAGGGAAGUGACUGCAGAAGCCUCACCUAGGGCACUUCAGACCAGAGUUCCUCAUCAGAGAGCUCUGAGCCCAACUUCUCAGCUGGGAGCCAUGUGCAGAAGUGCUGCACACGACACCAUGAAGACCACAGCUGCAAGCAGUGUGCAGAGAGGCUGUGCGGGACACCUCAGCCCCGAGCUGGUGGGCCACAUGCAGGAGCGCUGAGCACAGCACUGGGGUUCCAGAUGGUGGCCGUAUGCGCUGACGCUGCGCCCAGCACUGCAACCAGAGCCCUGAGCAGCACACCUACACUCACCCUCUCAGCCUCUAUAAAGCAACCCCAUCCCACCACUGGUCGGGGAGAGCCUGUGAUCUACAGCAGGAGCCUCCACCUCUCCAUUCUCUGAUCAAGGCUUUCCUUUGCCUCAGAACCAAACUCAGGCUUGUUCUACUGGCAUGAGCAACACCAGGCAGGAGGAUACUUGUUGGCAUGGGACUCAAGAAUGUCAGUAACUCCUUAGCCGAUGGCAAAGCAUUGAACUAACAAUACGUUCAGGCUCUCCCCUGUUUCACUGAAACCACUUUUGGAAUGAAAUACUCCACUAGAUGAUAAAUACUCCACUAGAUGAUAUCCUUGGGCCUGAUACUGUCACUGCUUAAACUGGCUGAAGAGAUCCUAGGAAGCCAAUAUUAUUAUUACUA
ensembl:lncRNA